UGAUCCUGGCUCAGAGUGAACGCUAGCGGCGUGGUUAAGACAUGCAAGUCGAACGAUGAAGCCCAGCUUGCUGGGCGGAUUAGUGGCAUACGGGUGCGUAACACGUGAGCAACCUGCCUUGAAGUGGGGAAUAGCCCGGGGAAACCCGGAUUAAUACCGCAUGUGGUCUCUUUUCGCAUGAAAAGACGACUAAAGUUUGUAAUGACUCUUCAAGAGGGGCUCGCGGCCUAUCAGCUUGUUGGUGAGGUAAAGGCUCACCAAGGCAAAGACGGGUAGCUGGUCUGAGAGGAUGAUCAGCCACACUGGAACUGAGAUACGGUCCAGACACCUACGGGUGGCAGCAGUUUCGAAUCAUUCACAAUGGGGGAAACCCUGAUGGUGCAACGCCGCGUGGAGGAUGACGGCCUUCGGGUUGUAAACUCCUGUCACCAAGGAACAAACGGCAGGUUCAUAGCCUGUCCUGGGUUAACUUGGAGAGGAAGAGGUGGCUAACUCCGUGCCAGCAGCCGCGGUAAUACGGAGACCUCGAGCGUUACUCGGAUUCACUGGGCGUAAAGAGUAUGUAGGCUGUUUGGUAUGUCAGGUGUGAAAGCCCGAAGCUCAACUUCGGAAUUGCGCCUGAAACUACCGGACUUGAGGCCUGGAGAGGGGAGUGGAAUUCCUGGUGUAGCGGUGAAAUGCGUAGAUAUCAGGAGGAACACCAAUGGCGAAGGCAGCUCCCUGGACAGGUUCUGACGCUGAGAUACGAAAGCGUGGGUAGCGAAAGGGAUUAGAUACCCCUGUAGUCCACGCCGUAAACGUUGUACACUAGGUCUCGGAGGGCCUACCCAUUCGGAGCUCAAGCUAACGCGAUAAGUGUA
rnacentral:rRNA from 1 species